rnacentral:rRNA from 1 species
UACAGAGGGUGCGAGCGUUGUCCGGAAUCACUGGGCGUAAAGGGCGCGUAGGCGGCUUGAUAAGCGUGCGGUGAAAGCCCGGGGCUCAACCCCGGGUCGGCCGUGCGAACUGUCGAGCUGGAGCACUGUAGAGGCAGGUGGAAUUCCGGGUGUAGCGGUGGAAUGCGUAGAGAUCCGGAGGAACACCGGUGGCGAAGGCGGCCUGCUGGGCAGUGGCUGACGCUGAGGCGCGACAGCGUGGGGAGCAAACAGG